CGGAGGAGCUGGUUCCCACCGCUGCACGCGCUGCUGCUUCAAACCUGGGACUAAACGCGCAUCAAGCUGGAACUAAACACGCACCGCACCAGGCUGGACUCAUGCGGUCAAUUACUACAUGCUACACGGGGCUUGACAGCUCUGGCUGAUAAAGAGCAGGGAAGCCUGGGUCACUUAAAAAGGAAAACGUGGAGCACAAAGUUUAACAAACCUUUUGGAGCCAAACACGUGCAUUAUAAUGGUCUGAAACAGGAUAAUUAUGCUGCAGACUGGCGUCCAGGUUCAGACUGUGCACACACAGGGACACGCUUGGUCCUGGACGCUGUGACUAGGACUGUACUAUCAAGGAAAUUCUUCAGUCCUCCAGGGUCGACUCACUGCAGUGAGACAAAGAAUACAGCCAGGACACUGUGGGAGACGCUACACGUGGAGACGCGAUGGCCACAGAGGAAAAUCAGAUACAAGCUGGAAAUGAAGUAUUGACCCAGCAUGUUUCACCUCCAUCCACUGGUGGAAGAACCAGCAGAGACGGCAAACAUGCAAAUAACGGGCAGGAAGCAUGGCGAGCCUCCGACCAACUGUGGCUUUCAAAACAGCGGAGCAGUCCCUCCCUCGUCUUCUACAGAAAACUGUCCUCCGACAGCGUGAACGGGACCAUCCUGGCUGAAGAAUAUGAGGAAUUAAACUAUAGCGCAAAAGUCAUAAGCACUAAAGAAAAGCUCUUUGCAGACCUGUUGACUGGCAAUAACAUUGAAGGGAUAACGCAGCUGGACACCCCGGGAGACGUUGUAGAUGCAGGGGGGAAAAAGCCUGGCAGCCCCCGCUGCUCCUGUGCCGUAUCUAGCACGCACACAAGUCCCGACUCCCAGCGUUCCCACAGUCCCAGAUCCAGCCCAGGUCAGAGCCGCCACCCCAGCGCCGCUCUCUCCUGCCCUCACAAGAGACACGUACGCCGCGGCAGCCUGCCGGUGUCCAUGCUCUUU